GCUGGUUUGCCCGAGAGGUCAAGGGGGGAAGACUUAAAUCUUCUGCACAUGAGUGCGCAUGGGUUCGAACCCCAUAGCCAGCA
rfam:Macleaya cordata isolate BLH2017 scaffold7055, whole genome shotgun sequence.